UACAGAGGUCUCAAGCGUUGUUCGGAUUCACUGGGCGUAAAGGGUGCGUAGGCGGCGCGGUAAGUCGGGUGUGAAAUCUUGGAGCUUAACUCCGAAACUGCAUUCGAUACUGCCGUGCUUGAGGACUGGAGAGGAGACUGGAAUUUACGGUGUAGCGGUGAAAUGCGUAGAUAUCGUAAGGAAGACCAGUGGCGAAGGCGGGUCUCUGGACAGUUCCUGACGCUGAGGCACGAAGGCCAGGGGGAGCAAACGGGG
rnacentral:rRNA from 1 species